GCCUGGGUGGCUCAGUCGGUUGAGCUUCCGACUUCGGCUCGGGUCAUGAUCUCAUGGUCCGUGAGUUCGAGCCCCGCGUCGGGCU
rfam:Felis catus isolate Cinnamon breed Abyssinian chromosome F1, whole genome shotgun sequence.